rnacentral:pre_miRNA from 1 species
CUGUAAUUUCAGAUACCUCCACUUUUGGUCCCUCAUUUCAUGAGCCAUGUAUGCAGAUUUUUUUGACGUGGUGAAAUUAGGGACCAAAAGUGGAAGAAUAUGAAAUUACAA